rnacentral:rRNA from 1 species
UUCUUUCCUCCCGAGUGCUUGCACUCAAUUGGAAAGAGGAGUGGCGGACGGGUGAGUAACACGUGGGUAACCUACCCAUCAGAGGGGGAUAACACUUGGAAACAGGUGCUAAUACCGCAUAACAGUUUAUGCCGCAUGGCAUAAGAGUGAAAGGCGCUUUCGGGUGUCGCUGAUGGAUGGACCCGCGGUGCAUUAGCUAGUUGGUGAGGUAACGGCUCACCAAGGCCACGAUGCAUAGCCGACCUGAGAGGGUGAUCGGCCACACUGGGACUGAGACACGGCCCAGACUCCUACGGGAGGCAGCAGUAGGGAAUCUUCGGCAAUGGACGAAAGUCUGACCGAGCAACGCCGCGUGAGUGAAGAAGGUUUUCGGAUCGUAAAACUCUGUUGUUAGAGAAGAACAAGGACGUUAGUAACUGAACGUCCCCUGACGGUAUCUAACCAGAAAGCCACGGCUAACUACGUGCCAGCAGCCGCGGUAAUACGUAGGUGGCAAGCGUUGUCCGGAUUUAUUGGGCGUAAA